AAUGCUAUGUCUGAUUUAAGUAAUAAACUGUAAAUUUAUUUAAGAAGUGUGAAUUUUCUAGCAUUA
rnacentral:tRNA from 1 species